rnacentral:tRNA from 1 species
AUUGCAAUAGCUCAAGUUAGAGUAUAAUAUUGAAGAUAUUAAGGUGAUUAAAUUCUUGUAGUA